GAUGCCUUAGCACUGGCCGGAAGAGUAACUCCCUUCCCCCACACCUGACUUCACAUCCACCAAAUACAUUCCAUCUCUCCUUAUCUUUUUAUAAAACACUUUCCCCUUCCUCUCUUUUUUUUUUUUCUAAUCACCAAAUUGGCCUCCCCUUGACUCCAUGUAUCCAGCUGCCUGGAUCCCCCACCCAACCCAGCACAGCGUUGGGGGGUGGGGGUGGGGGACAAAGGGAAGAGGGCAGGGCCAGGUCAGCGGGGCGUGGCUGUUGGGACCUUCCUCUCUGGCAGCUCAGAAGCCAGGCUUGGGACAAAGGCAAAUCGCUUUAAAAGGCCCUGACUCCGGAGGAGGAUGCCAGUUGAGAGCUGGACGGAGGCUGUAGCCCAGGCCAGUGGUCAAACUAGGAGGAGGAGCCAAGAGAGAGUCUGAAGAGAGACCGAUCUCUGUCCUGAAUUCCUGUGCCUGGAAUGGCAUCUGUCUCACUUAAAGCCUUGGCAGCUAGACGGGGUGAUGAUGGCCUGCUGUCCUUCCUUGGGGCUCUACAAAUACAAGUCCUCUUACUGAAUCCUAAAUGGAGCUUCACCCAGUCCACAGAAAUUCAUCCGGCACCUGCCAAUUUGCUGGCAUUGCUUCAAAUGUUGGUGAUACAGCAAAAGGAAACACUCCAAGCCCGGCUUCCUGCAGCGGAAACUCUAGUGAGGGAGACGGAAAAUAAACAUAAUAAAUAAAUAAAGGUGAUUAGUAUUACAGCAAAAACAAUUUUUUAAAAAAGAUUUAUAAGUUCUAUGAAUAAAACUGAGGGGCGGGGCAGGGAGGUGAAGCCCAGUGCUUGACUUAGCAUGGCCGAGGCUCUGGGUUCAAUCCCACACCCACCUGCUAAACUAAAGCUAGAAUAGUGAGUUAACUGCCACAGAUGAAAGAUGGAGACGCCAUUUUAGAUAAAGAUUUGGAGAAGGAGCAGAGGGCCACGCCUAGACCUGGAGAACAGACGUAGAUUCUGUAUCUAGUUUUAAGAAAUUUUUUAAUGAAAGGGGAAUAUUAAAGUCCUAACAUAAAUUAGAUACAGGUCCUUGGCGAGGAAUCAUAUAAUCGAAGGGAGGAAGCUUACUUCCAUUGCUAUGGGACUGCAGUGGCGGUUGGCUCCCUCCCAACCUGGUGCUGUAAAAUUGGCUGCCCUACCAUCAACCCUAGUAAGAAUUUAUUAUCCUGGGGUCGGGGAUUUAGCUCAGUGAUAGAGCUCUUGGCCCUAGGUUAGGUCCCCAGCUCCGAAAAAAAAAAAAAAAAAAAGAAUUUAUUAUCCUGACAGUGAUCAGGCUUCACUCCUUCUUUGAGCUUAUAAGUUCCCCCCAUCCCCACCGGACAGCCCCAGAGUAUGUGGAUGAAGCAUCCUAGAACACUCACAGGAGCCCUGGCCAAUGGCGCACAGCCACACAAGCCUUGCCCCAGAGAUUCUAGCCACCUCCCCAGGGGCAUAAAUGCCUCUCCCCUUCUCCCUCCCCGUAAAUAAACCAGUUCUCCGAAGCUGUUCCUGGCUGUGUGUUCUUUGCAGACCAAAAUCCUACCUGCACCCACCCGCCUUGCUAAGCUUCCCUCCCUCUAAUCCAGCAAAGUGCGGAAAGGGCCUGACUUCCCCCAGGGAGAAGCGGACAUGGACUGGCACAUUGCCUUAUGGGUAACUCAACCUUCCUUCACGUAGAUCAUCUAACGCAGAGGGAACAGGAAGGUGGGAGCACGUGCAGUAAGUUAGAGGCCCACCAGAAGCCGUGUCGCUAGAGGAGAGGGAAUGAGAGGAGGAGGAGUGGGAGGAGUCGGGUAGCUGGGACAAGGACUCCCGCUGUUGAGAUUUGGCCUUACUACUCCGAUGGGAGCUGCUGGAGGGUUUUGAGCAGACAAGCACCAUGUUCUGUCCUUGGUGUGGAAAGACUGGAGAGAUGUGGCUGCUGUUUUGAGAGUAGACUGAGGCAGGUCAAAGCUGCAAGCAGCAGGGCAGUUAGAAGCCAGCUGGAGUCAUUUAGGAAGUUGACGGUGGUGAUUGACAGCCGUAGACUUUAAGGACUAUAGUAGAGGUCAGUUUGAACAUGUUAAUUAGAAAUACUAAUACAUCCACGGGGAGGAUCAGGGCAGGAAGAGUUAGUGUUUUAAAUCUGGACUGCAUUAACAAGGAAGAGACUAAAGAUCUCUAUGUGGCCUACCUAGCAAAUUCCAGACCAACAGAGACUACACAGAGAGACCCUAUCUCAGAAACCAAACAAAAAAUUAAAGUUGAAAAACGAUCUGUGAGUCGGGUGGGGGAGGGGUGGUGAAUACAGCAGCAGAAACACACCCCAUUUCACAGAACUAAAUACUCUAAAGCCUCUUAGGCUCCUCAGAUCUUGGUAGGACACGAAGACCCAGUUCUCAGCCAAUGACUAUGCCCUGACUUUGCCUCUUCAGAGUGUACGACUUACCAUUGCUAAGACAUUUCAUUACCCCUGGAGUCUGAGUGAGUGUCCCAGUCACGUCCACUCAGGAGGAUGGACCUGAGAAGAGGCAUAGGCGGACGUAGACUUGUAGGGUAUCGGGGGAAAAAAAAUUCCCGCGUGCUACACACGUAUGACAGGGUCUGGGCUGUGGGCAUUUAUAUCUCCUUGACCUCACGGAGCCCCUACAAGAAGGACACAUCCAGCCAGAGGAGCUACAAAUGGGCUUCCUACAGCAUGGCGCCUGCCCCUAAGUGUGGUUCUAGAUCUAAGAGAACCUGCAUGUUUAUAUACCAGUAGUUCCAAAUAAGCGGAGGGAGGUGCCCAGCGAUUUGGCUGUAUCUUCCCAAAUUAAGCCUGGUGGUUCUACUUUUAGAAAUCCAUGAUCUGAUUUACUUGUAGAAGUGCCCAGUAUGGGGUGUAUAAUUAUGUUCACUACAACAUAGCAUUAUCAAGGAAAAUGGCAGAAAGUAUAAAUAGCUACCAAAUGGUGAAUGGGUAAUUAACUAAAUUAUAGUAUACUCGCGCUGAGAAGUGAAUCUUUGCAGUCACUACCCAGGCCGAGGCUGAUGGGAAAAUUCUGUAAUGUACACUUUUAAAUAAGAAAAGAAAAUUAGGGAUCUGAAAUGUGAGAAGGUAUGUAACUCCAUGUAUCUGUAGACAUAUAAAUUGGUGCUCAAAUUUGCUAAGAAUUUACUAGAAGUAACCACGAGAAACUUUUGUAUUAUGGUUGGUAAGAGGAGACACGGAAGGGCAGUUUUUAAUAAUUAAUUUAUUUUUAUUUUAUGUACAUCGGUGUUUUGACUACAUGUAUUCUGUGUGAGGGUAUCAGAUCCCCUAGAAUAAGAGUUACAGACAGUUGUGAGCCACCAUCUGGGUGCUUGGAAUUGAACCUGGGUCCUCUGGAAGAGCAGUCCGUGCUCUUAACUGCUGAACCAACUCUCCAGACAUGAGAUUUUUAAAAAAUUUUAUUUAUUAUUUUUUACUUUAUGCUUCUGUCGAGAUUUGUCAUCAAAGCAUUUAGUAUUUUCAUAAUUAAAAUAACAAAAAUGUGUUCUUGUAACAUCAUGUACAUCUGAUGACAACUUACCUUCAGGCUGGAGAGAUGGUUCAGGCAUUACGUCCAUCUUCUACUAUUCCACAGGACCCAAGUUCAAUGCCCAGUACCAACCAUCAAGGCAGCUCACAAGGGUCACUCCAGCUCUAGGGGUUCCAACACCCUGGCCCUGUCUGUGAGAAUCUUCAUGUAUAUGUGCAUGUACCUACACACUAUACACACAACACAACUUAAAGACAUUAGGGGGCUGGAGAGAUGGCUCAGCAGUUAAGAACACUGACUGCUCCUCCAGAGGUCUGGCGUCUAAUUCCCAGGACCCACAUUGUGGUUCACAAAUGCCUGUAACUCCAGUUCCAGGGGAUCGAACACCCUUUUCUGGCUUCCAUGGGCCGCCAGAUGCUCACAUGGUACACAGACACACAUGUAAGGAAAAUACCUAUGUACAAAAUAUAAAUUAACAAAUAAAACUUUAAUUAAAAAGAAAAUAAACUGUGCAUGGUAGUGCACGCACACCUUUAGUUCCAGUACUUGGGAAGCAAAGGCAGGAGGAUCUCUUGUGAGUUCAAGGCCAGUCUGGUCUAUAUCAUGAAUUCCAGGACAGCUAGGACUAUGUAGAGAGACCCUGUCUAAAAACAAAACAAAAAAAAACCCACAAAUUUUGUUUCAAUUCAUUUAAAAUAAGAAGGGACUCAUGAUUAAAGCAUGACAUGCAUUGAAGUAUAUUUUCUUCAUGGGUGAUUUUAGGGGGCAUGAGCCCUUCAGACUGUUGGGUUCUUAUAGGACUGGCCCACGCCCAGCAGCCCUGAGGCAGAUCUGAUCCAUGCUGGUCUUGUGGGUGUGGGCAGUAGAUCAGAGAAUUUCUCUCUUACUAGGAAAACAACUCAAAGGUCAGGGCUACCCAAUCAUAAGUAAAUAUCAAUAUCCCCAGUUUGGGGAGGAGCCUACAGAUGACCUAUAUCCUAGUUUAAAGUCUACCACAGCUGGUUCUUGUCUGUUUGUCUGGGAGCUCGCAGACCUCAGAGGCCGGACUGGCUUCAUCUCUGUAUACCUGGCACUUGGCACAGCUCCUUGAAUGUAGGGCGAUGUUGUACAAAUGUUUGUCGAUAUGACAUCAGAGCUGCUAUUCCUCUGCCACAUCUCUUGGUGGCUUCCUCUUGAAUUUUGAACAUUCAACUCUCCGAAGGUGAGUUUUGCAGAAUCUGCAUCCAGGAAAAUUGACAAGGCAGCAACUGCUUCAGUUGCUUCCUUCAUCCAUUCUAGGAAAUCUAGAAAAAUCAAGAGUGCUAAUAAAAAAUAAGUAAUAUGGUUUGAAUAUGAGCUGUCCCUUAUGAGCUUGUGGUUUGAACACUUGGUCUCUGUGACGGCUAUUCCUGGUUGUCAACUUGACUAUAUUUGGAAUGAACUACAAUCCAGAAUUGGAGGGCUCACCCGUGAUCCAGAUCUUGAGGCUGGAAGACACAAGUUUCUGACCUGAAUUCUGGCAUGGAGAUCUUGAGGCGUAGUGGCCACGAAAAGCUUAGGCCCAGGCAAGGUAGUACGUGCCAUAAAUCUCAGGAGACUGAUACAAGGAGAUCUCUGAGUUCAAGAUCAGCCUGGAACAAAGUAAGUGCCGAUCUAGGUGUGAUGGUACACACCUUUAAUCUUGGCCACACCUUCUGCUGGAGGCCUACAUAAGGUCAUUGGAAGAAGGAAGAUUCACUCUUCUUCAGCUGCUUGAACUUACUUGCCAGCACAUCUGUUGGAACCUACUUCUACAGAAGAACAGCUGAAACAAUUAGCCUCAUGGGACUGAGCAACUACUCAAUUCUUGGACUUCCCAUUCACAACUGAUUAUUGUUGGGUUAGUUAGGCUACAGACUGUAAGCCAUUACAAUAAACUCCCUCAAUAUAGAGAAACAUUCCAUAAGUUCUGUGACUCUAGAGAAUCCUAACUAAUACAGAAGUUGGUACCAGAAGUGGGGUAUUCCUGUGACAGCCUCGCCAUGUUUUUGGGAUGACUGUGGAAGAACUUUGGAACUUUGAGCUAACAGAGCCAUUGGGAUGUUAAGAGCUCUGUGGUAUGUUCUGUAGGAGCUUGGAAGAUAAUGCUGAGAAUAGUGCAGAAGAUGGAGGCCUGGCUUGUGAAAUUUCAGAGGGAAAAUUAAAGACUCUUUCAGGGCCAUUGCUGUUUUGAUUGUGAAGAUUCUGUGGUUUUGGUUAGCUGGGGCUGAAGAAUCAGCUGUGAUUAACAAGAUUAAAGUGAAACCUUUGUGGGGUUGGGGAUUUAGCUCAGUGGUAGAGCGCUUGCCUAGAAAGUGCAAGGCCCUGGGUUCGGUCCCCAGCUCCGAAAAAAAAAAAAAAAGUGAAACCUUUGCAUUACUGGGACAAUUGAUGCUUGUUAGCUGCAGCUAAGAAAUUAGCAGUGAUUAAGAAGAUACCAGCAUCAGGGCUGGAGAGAUGGCUCAGCGGUUAAGAGCAUCUGACUGCUCUUCCAGAGGUCAUGAGUUCAAUUCCCAGCAACCACAUGGUGGCUCACAACCAUCUGUAAAGAGAUCCGAUGCCCUCUUCUGGUGUGUCUGAGGACAGCUACAGUGUGCUUGUAUAUAAUAAAUGAAUAAAUCUUAAAAAAAAAAAAAACUUUAAAAAAAAAAAAAAGAAGAUACCAGCAUCACUAAGGUGAAAUCUUCUGGGAAGUGUUUCCUGAGAGCAAAGAGAAGCUGUGUUCCAAAGGCAGCCAUAGUUGUACCUCGUGUUGGCAGCCAGACUUGGUGUAAGAGUCACCUAGGUGGUACUGGUUUUAAAGCAUGAAGGGGUAGCAGCUGAUGCUUGGUAGCAUGAGAGGCUAGGAGAGGUCAUUGGUGAAGAUGCAGCCUCAGUGACAGUUGAAGGCAGGACUGAAGGGGCCACGCAGAGAAGUUGAGACGUAGCACCAUGAAAAGAGACUUUGAGAGGCUAUUGAUGAAUGUGCAACCUAGCACCCUUUCAUGGCCUCUGCAUCAGCUCCAAGUUCCUGCCCUGUGUGAGUUCCUGUCCUGACUUUCUUUGGUGAUGAACAGCAAUGUGGAAGUGUAAGCUGAAUAAACCCUUUCCUCCCCAGCUCGCUUCUUGGUCAUGAUGUUUUGUGCAGUAAUGCAAACCUUGACUAAGACAGUCUCUAACUAUUUUAGGGAGUUGUAGAAACUUUGGAAGGUGGAUGGAUCUAACUGGGAAAGUAAGUUACUGGGGUUGUGCCUUUGAAAAUAACACUAGGUCCCCAGUCUGCUCUUCCCUCUGCCUCCUGUCCAUCACACUGUGAGCUGCUCUUCUGCUCCUCCUUCGUUGGGAUGCACUGAAGCCUUUGAAACUGUGAACUAAAAUAAACCUUUUUCUCCAUACA